rnacentral:tRNA from 1 species
GCCCCUAUAGCUCAGGAUGGAUAGAGCAGCGGUUUCCUAAACCGCGUGUCGCAGGUUCGAAUCCUGCUAGGGGCACGA